rnacentral:rRNA from 1 species
UCUAAUAAGAGUUUGAUCCUGGCUCAGGAUGAACGCUGGCGGCGUGCCUAAGACAUGCAAGUCGAGUGGGUUUAGACCCACGGCGAACGGGUGAGUAAUACCUAGGAACGUUCUUUAAGUUGAGGAUAUUCCGUCGAAAGACGGUGCAAUACUCAAUGUUGUCGCAAGACAAAAGUCGCAAGACGCUUAAAGUGCGGCCUGGGCACCAUCAGCUAGUUGGUAAGGUAAUGGCUUACCAAGGCUAUGACGGUUAGGGGCCCCGAGAGGGGAAACCCCCACACUGGGACUGCGACACGGCCCAGACUCCUACGGGAGGCAGCAGUUUGGAAUUUUGCACAAUGGGCGAAAGCCUGAUGCAGCGACGCCGCGUGGACGAUGAAGGCCUUCGGGUUGUAAAGUCCUUUUGCUCGGGAACAAU